rnacentral:lncRNA from 1 species
GCCACACCUGGGGCAUAUGUAGGUUCCCAGGCUAGGGGUCCAAUCGAAGCGGUGGCUGCUGGCCUACGCCAGAGCCACACCAAUGUGGGAUCUGAGCCACAUCUGCGAUCUAUGCCACAGCUCACUGCAACGCCGGAUCCCCAACCCACUGAGCGAGGCCAGGGAUCGAACCCGCAACCUUAUGGUUCCUAGUAGGAUUUGCCAACCACAGAGCCACGACAGGCUAGUUUUCAUUUUGUUAUGCCCAUACCUGGACAUAUUAACCCUUCCUGUACUUAUUCAGUGAUGACAAUUUUAAAGUUGCCUGAUCAGAUUGAAAAGAUGAAGGAACGUAAGUGAGAGACUGAAUAUAAAAAGUACAGACAACCAUUUUAUAAGCAAAAAAUAUUAAGAAGCAAACAAAACCCAUUUCCCUAUUAUGAUUUGAAAGACAUAGAAAGUUUAUGAGAAAAAUCCAUAUAAAUCAUCAACCUAAGCAGCAAAGAAAAUAUUUAUUUACUUCAAAGUAAUUAUGUAGUGCAUACUAAAUUGCCUCAUUGUAUGAGGCAAGAAAUUAUUUAAAAUGUCAAUUCUAGUCAAUAAAUCAUAAGGACUUUGAUUGGCCAAUGAAACCCACUGUCCCAUUGUUAUAUUUGUUUUCCCCAAAACUACAUAAGUUUAAUGUAAUUCCUCACGUAAUAGGGAAGUUAGGAUUAGUUCCCUUUACAGGUUUAUUUUUUAACCAGGUUGUGAAGUAUAUGGUUUAAAACAUUAAUUUUUUUUCAAAAACCAUGUGUCUUUAUUCUAAUGUAUGUGAUCUCUCCCACACCCUCCAAUGGUUUUUAUUUUUUCCAUUAUAGGUGGUUUACAGUGCUCUGUCAAUUUUCUACUGUAUAGCAAAGUGACCUAGUCUCACACACACACACACACACACAUAUAUACACACACGUUCUUCUUCUUACAUUAUCCUCCAUCAUGUUCCAUCACAAGUGACUNUAUAUACACACACGUUCUUUUUCUUACAUUAUCCUCCAUCAUGUUCCAUCACAACAUAACUUUCUGGAGUUCCUCAAUCCUUUUCUCCUAUCUCCAAUAAUUUUUCUUAGAGUGUUUAUACUAAGCAUGAUAUUCCUAGAAUCUAUCCUAGACUCUUCAGCUUCAAUUUAAACCAUUUAAUUUCAUACCCUCUCUGACUCAAAAGGAAAAAAUGCCAACAGUACAAUAUAUCAUCAUAAUAUGAAUGUGUGGUAUUUGUUGCAAGAAACUAUUUUUAAAUUCCACCCCCUCAAGCUUUCUUUCUCCUAGUACAUCACUCCUUUAUCUAAGUAGGACUAACAAAAUAAGAUAAAAAUCCUGCAAAAAGUACUUUGCUUCUACUUGAACUUUUAAAAAUUGUGUUUAAUUAAAGGCCUUAUCCUUCCCUAGGCUCAUUGUUUCAAUUUGAGUAGAUGCCAGGAAACAUUUACGAAAUGGCAGAGCAAAGAACUCUGAAAAUCUGCUCUUCCAUAAGAG